UGUGGUUCCCAUGCGAAAAUGUCCGCAUAGCAGCGAAGGAGCUCCAUGAGGUUUGUCCGAAGAGGUUCUAACAGACCCGAACCAAUCUUUACUGUCUUCUCUAGCUUUCCAAGGACUAGCUCGAUCUCUUCCGUUUCUCCUGCAGGAAUUACUAAUGGCCCUGAGCUGCUUUCAGUGAAGGGCUCGAUCUCAAUUGCCAUGGUUUGUUUCUGUUUGUUAACC
rnacentral:lncRNA from 1 species